rnacentral:ribozyme from 1 species
GUUUGUUGGUUUUUUUUUUUUUUUUUUUCUCACCUCUGACGUGUUCUCGGGCUCACAAUGAGCGAAACAAAAGAAGAUGCAAAAGAAGAUAUGAGGG